rnacentral:rRNA from 1 species
UACAGAGGGGGCAAGCGUUGUUCGGAAUUACUGGGCGUAAAGGGCUCGUAGGCGGCCGCCCAAGUCAGAUGUGAAAUCCCUCGGCUCAACCGGGGAACUGCGUCUGAUACUGGGCGGCUUGAAUUCGGGAGAGGGAUGCGGAAUUCCAGGUGUAGCGGUGAAAUGCGUAGAUAUCGGGAGGAACACCAGAGGCGAAGGCGGCCACCUGGACAGAGACUGACGCUGAGACGCGAAAGCGUGGGGAGCAAACAGG